GACGAACGCUGGCGGCGUGCCUAAUACAUGCAAGUCGAACGCAUUUUCUUUCACCGUAGCUUGCUACACCGAAAGAAAAUGAGUGGCGAACGGGUGAGUAACACGUGGGUAACCUGCCCAUCAGCGGGGGAUAACACUUGGAAACAGGUGCUAAUACCGCAUAAUUCCAUUUACCGCAUGGUAGAUGGAUGAAAGGCGCUUUUGCGUCACUGAUGGAUGGACCCGCGGUGCAUUAGCUAGUUGGUGGGGUAACGGCCUACCAAGGYUGCGAUGCAUAGCCGACCUGAGAGGGUGAUCGGCCACACUGGGACUGAGACACGGCCCAGACUCCUACGGGAGGCAGCAGUAGGGAAUCUUCGGCAAUGGACGCAAGUCUGACCGAGCAACGCCGCGUGAGUGAAGAAGGUUUUCGGAUCGUAAAACUCUGUU
rnacentral:rRNA from 1 species